UUAAUGUUUACCUGUACUUGUUGAGAGCCAAGGUUGAAGUCAUUCAUGUGUGAAAAAUGUUGUCGAGGCAUCUGUAAACGGCUAAAGAAAUGCAAAUGUAGCCUAGUUUAGACUAUGCACUUGCUUUGUGUACAGAUGUGACGGCGAGGUAAGGGCAACCUGACACACAUGCGCAUUAAUAGCCAUGUUUACCUGUACUUGUACUUGACUGCCAAAAAUGCUGUCGAGGCAUGUGUACAUGUUCUUUGUCGAAUUGCAUUAUUAAAGUACAUCAAGAUGAGACAUCAUAUACAUUCAUAUAUAUUUGUUGAGCACGAAACCUUGAAGUGUAGCCAGGACAUUUCCUCGAAACUAUGGGCGGCCUUGUAGCUUCAAUAUCUUAUAAAUUAUAGGUCAAGGUGUAUUCAGCAAACAAAGAUCCGAAGGGCUGUAUUUCCUUCAUCGAACACACUAUGCGUUCAUCACAGUUUGUGACGGAUUACGGAUACGAACGAACUAGCACUUGUUUUGCAGGCCGCGUCAUAUGGCUGGAAUAUUGCUGGGUGUCGUAAAACAAGAAACAACCGAGUGAACACUCACUUAUAAUGUCGUCGCCAUAUAGCUGGGUCUGUUGCUAAGUGCGACGUUAAACAAAGCUCACUUGUUCAAGGUAUCAACAUUCAACAUGUUUGACUGUUCAAGGCAUCAAUAUGUGAUAAGUAUGGCUGCACAAGAUAUAAUAAAAGGUGAAGAACCAGGUUAGAAUAGGUCUUCAGCAACCCAUGCUUGCUGUGAGAGGUGACUAUGGUUAUCGUAAGAGGCGAAUAACGUGAUUGGGUGGUCACACU